GGGCCCGUGGCCCAGCCAGGAUUAAGGCGCCGAGUCGAAAAGCCGGAGAUCCUGGGUUCAAAUCCCAGCGGGCCCGCCA
rnacentral:tRNA from 1 species